GACGAACGCUGGCGGCGUGCUUAACACAUGCAAGUCGAACGGAAAGGCCCUGCUCUUGUUGGGUGCUCGAUUGGCGAACGGGUGAGUAACACGUGAGUAACCUGCCCUUGACUUUGGGAUAACUUCAGGAAACUGGGGCUAAUACCGGAUAGGAGCUCCUGCUGCAUGGUGGUGGUUGGAAAGUUUCGGCGGUUGGGGAUGGACUCGCGGCUUAUCAGCUUGUUGGUGGGGUAGUGGCUUACCAAGGCUUUGACGGGUAGCCGGCCUGAGAGGGUGACCGGCCACAUUGGGACUGAGAUACGGCCCAGACUCCUACGGGAGGCAGCAGUGGGGAAUAUUGCACAAUGGGCGGAAGCCUGAUGCAGCAACGCCGCGUGCGGGAUGACGGCCUUCGGGUUGUAAACCGAUUUCGCCUGUGACGAAGCGUGAGUGACGGUAAUGGGUAAAGAAGCACCGGCUAACUACGUG
rnacentral:rRNA from 1 species